UAACCUCAAAGGAGUACCCCUACCAAUGCAGGUGGUGAAGAAAACUGUGUUGGUUCAGACUGGAUCAAAAAACCUUGGUCAGCCAACGCCUGGCACUGACGGUGGAGAUAAUGAAUCCAUUAAGAACAUAAUGUCUGCUGGUUAUCACAUUUGCUCAGCUCCAGGGCAGUUGAAUGUAGAGCAAAAACAAUACCCUGGACUCAGAUCUUCAGCUUCAGUUGGCCAAAAGCGUGCCUUGCAACCCAUCCGUUGGAUGAUUGUCAAAAACAAAAGCAAGAUCUUCAGCAAAAGUGCCUUUCGAUUAUGAGAUUCAAAGUGGAAAAUGUUGUCCAAUGUGGAACCACCAAAACACACAUCCCUCCCCACCACCACCACAACAACAACAUUUCCUCAUAUCACUUACUCCUACACCCACUAAUAGCCAACCUCAACAUAAAUUACGCUCCACCUUACAACAAAAAACCA
rnacentral:lncRNA from 1 species